rnacentral:rRNA from 1 species
GACGAACGCUGGCGGCGUGCCUAAUACAUGCAAGUUGAGCGAUGAAGAUUGGUGCUUGCCCCAAUUUGAAGAGCAGCGAACGGGUGAGUAACGCGUGGGGAAUCUGCCUUUGAGCGGGGGACAACAUUUGGAAACGAAUGCUAAUACCGCAUAACAACUUUAAACAUAAGUUUUAAGUUUGAAAGAUGCAAUUGCAUCACUCAAAGAUGAUCCCGCGUUGUAUUAGCUAGUUGGUGAGGUAAAGGCUCACCAAGGCGAUGAUACAUAGCCGACCUGAGAGGGUGAUCGGCCACAUUGGGACUGAGACACGGCCCAAACUCCUACGGGAGGCAGCAGUAGGGAAUCUUCGGCAAUGGACGAAAGUCUGACCGAGCAACGCCGCGUGAGUGAAGAAGGUUUUCGGAUCGUAAAACUCUGUUGGUAGAGAAGAACGCUGGUGAGAGUGGAAAGCUCAUCAAGUGACGGUAACUACCCAGAAAGGGACGGCUAACUACGUG